rnacentral:tRNA from 1 species
AUUCAAAUAGCUUAUGUUAGAGUAUAACAUUGAAGAUGUUAGGGAAAUUAAUUAAAUUUUUGAAUA